CAGCCGCCGCGGUAACACGUAGGUGGCAAGCGUUGUCCGGAUUUACUGGGCGUAAAGCGAACGCAGGCGGUUUGACAAGUCUUAUGUGAAAUCUUCGGGCUCAACCCAUAGCCUGCACGAGAAACUACCGGGCUUGAGUAAUGGAGAGGUGAGUGGAAUUUCCGGUGUAGCGGUGAAAUGCGUAGAUAUCGGAAGGAACACCUGUGGCGAAAGCGGCUCACUGGACAUUAACUGACGCUGAUGCACGAAAGCUAGGGGAGCAAACAGGAUUAGAGACCCCCGUAGUCCCUGUCUCUUAUAC
rnacentral:rRNA from 1 species